UACGGGGGGAGCAAGCGUUGUUCGGAUUUACUGGGCGUAAAGGGUGCGCAGGCGGCCGUGUGUGUAAGGUGUGAAAUCCCGGGGCUCAACCCCGGAACUGCGCCUUAAACUACAUGGCUAGAGUACUGGAGAGGGUAGCGGAAUUCACGGUGUAGCAGUGAAAUGCGUAGAUAUCGUGAGGAACACCAGAGGCGAAGGCGGCUACCUGGACAGUUACUGACGCUCAGGCACGAAAGCGUGGGGAGCAAAAGGG
rnacentral:rRNA from 1 species